GACGAACGCUUGCGGCGUGCUUAACACAUGCAAGUCGAACGGAAAGGCCCUGCUUUUGUGGGGUGCUCGAGUGGCGAACGGGUGAGUAACACGUGAGUAACCUGCCCUUGACUUUGGGACAACUUCAGGAAACUGGGGCUAAUACCGGAUAGGAGCUCCUGCUGCAUGGUGGGGGUUGGAAAGUUUCGGCGGUUGGGGAUGGACUCGCGGCUUAUCAGCUUGUUGGUGGGGUAGUGGCUUACCAAGGCUUUGACGGGUAGCCGGCCUGAGAGGGUGACCGGCCACAUUGGGACUGAGAUACGGCCCAGACUCCUACGGGAGGCAGCAGUGGGGAAUAUUGCACAAUGGGCGGAAGCCUGAUGCAGCAACGCCGCGUGCGGGAUGACGGCCUUCGGGUUGUAAACCGCUUUCGCCUGUGACGAAGCGUGAGUGACGGUAAUGGGUAAAGAAGCACCGGCUAACUACGUGCCAGCAGCCGCGGUGAUACGUAGGGUGCGAGCGUUGUCCGGAUUUAUUGGGCGUAAAGGGCUCGUAGGUGGUUGAUCGCGUCGGAAGUGUAAUCUUGGGGCUUAACCCUGAGCGUGCUUUCGAUACGGGUUGACUUGAGGAAGGUAGGGGAGAAUGGAAUUCCUGGUGGAGCGGUGGAAUGCGCAGAUAUCAGGAGGAACACCAGUGGCGAAGGCGGUUCUCUGGGCCUUUCCUGACGCUGAGGAGCGAAAGCGUGGGGAGCGAACAGGCUUAGAUACCCUGGUAGUCCACGCUGUAAACGGUGGGUACUAGGUGUGGGGUCCAUUCCACGGGUUCCGUGCCGUAGCUAACGCUUUAAGUACCCCGCCUGGGGAGUACGGCCGCAAGGCUAAAACUCAAAGGAAUUGACGGGGCCCCGCACAAGCGGCGGAGCAUGCGGAUUAAUUCGAUGCAACGCGUAGAACCUUACCUGGGUUUGACAUGGAUCGGGAGUGCUCAGAGAUGGGUGUGCCUCUUUUGGGGUCGGUUCACAGGUGGUGCAUGGCUGUCGUCAGCUCGUGUCGUGAGAUGUUGGGUUAAGUCCCGCAACGAGCGCAACCCUUGUUCACUGUUGCCAGCACGUUAUGGUGGGGACUCAGUGGAGACCGCCGGGGUCAACUCGGAGGAAGGUGGGGAUGACGUCAAGUCAUCAUGCCCCUUAUGUCCAGGGCUUCACGCAUGCUACAAUGGCUGGUACAGAGAGUGGCGAGCCUGUGAGGGUGAGCGAAUCUCGGAAAGCCGGUCUCAGUUCGGAUUGGGGUCUGCAACUCGACCUCAUGAAGUCGGAGUCGCUAGUAAUCGCAGAUCAGCAACGCUGCGGUGAAUACGUUCCCGGG
rnacentral:rRNA from 1 species